UUCUAAAUAGGUUGUAUAUUCAAAGUGUUUUUAACAGUUUGAAGGUAACAGUUUUUAAAAUGAAAUUCUUGUUUUUUGCAUUCGCUUUAGCUGUAAUGCUAAGCGUAAUUUUUGCUUCGCCGGUUCAACCUGAUCCAAGGGAAUCUUACCAUCUUGUUAAAAGAUCUGCUGAUAAUAUUCCAGAAGAAAAUCUUGAUCAUUUGAUUGAAAAACGUGAAGCUAGAAGAUCUGGUGUUAUUAAGUCGGCUGUUUAUGUCGCCAGCAUAGGAAAAUAAGAUUAUUUUGUUGUUUUGUUAUCUUAUCAUAUCAGAAGAUGUAUUAACUAGUCCUUAUGUUAAUGAAAUAUAAGUUUUUGUUGGGUUA